rnacentral:rRNA from 1 species
AUGAACGCUGGCGGCGUGCUUAACACAUGCAAGUCGAACGAUUAAGACUUACUUCGGUAAGUGUAUAGAGUGGCGAACGGGUGAGUAACACGUGGGCAACCUGCCCCUCACACCGGGAUAACCACGGGAAGCUGUGGCUAAUACCGGAUACUCCGGCGCGAUCGCAUGGUCGUGCCGGGAAAGUCCAGGCGGUGAGGGAUGGGCCCGCGGCCCAUUAGCUCGUUGGUGAGGUAACGGCUCACCAAGGCAACGAUGGGUAGCCG